GAUGAACGCUAGCUACAGGCCUAACACAUGCAAGUCGAGGGCAGCGGGAAGGAGCUUGCUUCUCGCCGGCGACCGGCGCACGGGUGCGUAACGCGUAUCGAACCUACCCUUUACUCGGGAACAGCCUUGCGAAAGCAAGAUUAAUGCCCCGAUGUUCCGCGUUUGCCGCAUGGCAAAUUCGGCAAAGAUUUAUUGGUAAAGGAUGGCGAUGCGUCCCAUUAGUUAGUUGGCGGGGUAACGGCCCACCAAGACGACGAUGGGUAGGGGUUCUGAGAGGAAGGUCCCCCACAUUGGAACUGAGACACGGUCCAAACUCCUACGGGAGGCAGCAGUGAGGAAUAUUGGUCAAUGGGCGGAAGCCUGAACCAGCCAAGUAGCGUGCAGGAAGACGGCCCUAUGGGUUGUAAACUGCUUUCAGUCGGGAAUAAUUCGUCGGUCGUGACCGGCGUUGCAGGUACCGUCAUAAGAAGGACCGGCUAAUUCCGUG
rnacentral:rRNA from 1 species